UUAUUGGUCUUCACUGACAGCACUCUGGCAUUGGUUCACCUUGCUUUCUUCACUGGUCUUCGUUGGUUGUGACUUCAUAGACAAGAGACACACUAAAGAACUUUUGGUGGUGUUCCAGCCGCUCCUUGCCACUUGAGUGGACUCUUGCGGAUCAGCAGAGCCUCGCAGUUUCUUCUGGUGGUGUUCCAGCUGCUCCUUGCCACUUGAGUGGACUCUUGCGGAUCAGCAGAGCCUCGCAGUUUCUUCUGAAUCUAGCUGCUGCUGACUCGUGUCUGACUGAUUGCUAGUGGAUUGGAUUACUGACAAUGAAGAUUGGAAUCACGCCCAAGAACUAGUUCUAAACAGUUAUCGCCUGUCGGGAUCUUUAUUUACCAACCAUAAGUUGAGGGCAAGGUCACACAGGGUCUACGUGUGGACUCUCUCAUGUCCGGGGCAAUCAAGUAAGCAGCAUCAGGCCAACCUACAACAAAAUGAGUGAAAGUGAAUGCUUCAUCAGGAAGCUUAUGAAAGACGGAUGUCUCCGUUAAAGUGGUGGAAAGCCACAUUAAGACACUUUUUUAUAAUGAUGGUAUUUGCUGAGAAUUUCAAUCAAUAUAUUUUGAUCAUA